CGGGGAGCUGGGGAUUCCUAAACCCUCUCUGUGAGGGGACAGAGCCCGCAGGGGUGCUGGGGCCCGCUGAUGCUGGCUAGUGGGUUGCCAGGGUUUGUCUCUUGUCUCUCAGUUCUCUCUUCUUACCAGGAGCAGUCCUGCCUGCCUCUCCCACAGCUCCAAGUCCACAAAGCACCGACUUUCUGGAGGUUUGUAAACCCCACAGAGCAUCUGUGUAAAUCAAGCCAUUUAUUUCUGCACCUUUGCUAAGGCCAGCCGGCCUCCCUUACCCACUUGAAGCUGAAAUGGGAUCAACAAGACUUUGCAGCACAUCCUUCCACUCAUGUCCGAUGGGCUUCUUCUUUCCCCCAGGUGGGAAAAAUGCAGGGACAAUGACUGAAGAGCUGCAUGGAAGAGAAGGUUAUGAUAGAGAUGGUCCCAUCAUCUACUGGCCACUCUCCAAAGAGACAAAAGAGAAGGGAGCCAAUGGGUUGAACACAAAAAUGGCCUGGAUGUGCUGGAUGGGAGGAGUGCAGCCAGACAAGCACAGGAGCCUUGGUCCUUCCAGCCAGGCACAAGGCUGGCUUCCUGGCUCCAGCGCUCCCUCUGGACCCCCCUUGGAUGGUCUGUCAUUAAUUUAGUGACUGACUUGAACUUCAGCAAUUAAAGUGUGGAUAUUUCACCACCUUAACAGUAACUGGAUCCUAUCCACUACUUAGCAGUGAUUUCAGACACUGACUUGAAUGAAACCUUUUCCCACAACGUUCAAAUUCAGUUCUCAACAGCUAAAGGGUAAGAGGUUCAGUAAUAACAUGGGAACAGGUGACCACUGAGAUGUGAAUAAAAUAGAGCAAAAUCAUGGUCUGUAUUGCCUU
rnacentral:lncRNA from 1 species